UAACUGGGACCAAGAGAGAUGUUACAGUGUUUCCCACAGGUUGAAGCUACACUUUUCAGAUGUUGGUGAUGCCAGUGUGAUGGAGCUUCAGCUGUUCUUGAAUGCACCUGUCCCCACCCCCUACCAACUGGCGGGCCUUUCACCUGGAAGCACUUGGCAGGAAAUCACACACACAUGCUCAAACAUACAGGAGAAUGGUGGGGAGAGAAGCCACCACAGGAGGUUGCCACCACAAACUUGGCAUUGUCGUCGGGAUGACUCGAGUGAGAGCUCAUCUGGAACCCAGGCAUUUAGCAAGACCGGCCACCGGAUAACUCACGACAUGCAACAUCCUCGUACAAGGCUGCAGGAUUAGCCCAAAUGAUUUCUUCUACACGUGGUGGAAAGAUGGGACAUGGACCAACAAAGAACCAAUACAGUUUUGACACGAAUCUGGACAAAGGGAUGGAUUCAGGAUUUUCACUUUCUUUAACAUCCUGAGAUAAUGAUUGGAUCUGGAUUAAAACAAAAUGUUGAGAGGACAGGAAUUUAUGAGCGUGUGUAAUUUG